AACGCACCUUGCGCUCCUUGGUAUUCCUUGGAGCAUGCCUGUUUGAGUAUCAUGAAAUUAUCAAAGCGAAUCUUUCGUUAGCUCGACGGACUUUGCUUUGGACUUGGAGGUCUGCAGAUUCACGUCUGCUCCUCUUAAACGCAUUAGCUGGAUCUCGGUAAGCUUGGUUCCACUCGGCGUGAUAAGCAUCUAUCGCUGAGGACACCCGUAAAACAGGUGGCCAGGAGUACGGACGAACCGCUUCCAACGGUCUAUUAGCUUAGACAAUAAAUUUUACGAUCUGAUCUCAAAUCAGGUAGGACUACCCGCUGAACUUAA
rnacentral:misc_RNA from 1 species